GAGCCCGCCCGCAGCGCCCGCAGCGCCCUCAGCGCGGGGCUCCGUCCUGCCGAGCUCGGCGGCGCACGGGCUGUCCGUCGGGCCUGCCUUCCCGGGAACCUCCGUCUCUCUCGCGCCCGCCCGAGGGAAGCGUGCGGAAGGGCCCGAGGUUACUGAUACCCCGUCGCGUCCUGCACGCCAGCCUGCCGUCAAAGUGUAGGGCUGGAGCUCAACCUCCUCCCGAGGAGGGCCGAGACCCUCAGGUCUGCUUAAAACCAUCGUGGAGACCUUUCCCAAGCGGGGAAAAAAGUUCAAGCAGAAUUCAGAUGGAGUGAAGCGGAACAUCCAUAGAGAGUUAUAAGGACAAACUCAACAAACAGCAUUCAAAUCUUCAAAAUCUGUUGUCUGCAUUAAGCUCAAGACUUAAAAAUGAUGCACCUUGUCCCAGCAGGGAGAUCCAGAAUUCCUUAUUUAGACUUAUAGGCUCCUUUUUACUGUUUAUGGAGGUACCUCUGAAGCAAUAUCUAGAAUGCUCAUAUGCGGAGAAGACCCAAAGGAAAGAAAGAAUAGCUGUUUCAGUUCAUUACCUUAAGUUACACCUGUUUCCACCAUGGAGAAAUCCAAAAUCAUCCCAUGCUUCCAUGGAAAGGGAUGCUGUUUCAAAUUUUCACAAAGGCAAACCAGUUUAGGUAUGUCUUUGUCCUGCUGACCCUGGUUCAAACGCUUACCACCUCUUCCUGUUUCAAGAGCAAGGCUCCCACCACAGUUACAAUCCCCUGAACCUCUGCUGAAGCUGAUUCAAGACAGCUUGUCCACCUGGGAUACUCACAUGAAGAAAGCCUUGCUGUACCCUGACUCUAUAUGAGCUACUCCAUGCUCUUGCUUCUUCAGCAUUAUCUUAGAGCAUAUGGAGCAUGAGGUGAACAUCUGUAUGUUGAAGUAAAGUGAGGUUCUCCUGC